GAUCCUGGCUCAGAAUCAACGCUGGCGGCGUGCCUAACACAUGCAAGUCGAACGCGCGAGGGGAGCAAUCCCCGAGCGAGUGGCAAACGGGUGAGUAACACGUGGGUGACCUGCCUUCGAGUGGGGGAUAACGUUCCGAAAGGAACGCUAAUACCGCAUGACAUCCUGCUUUUGGACAAGCGGACAUCAAAGCUGGGGAUCGCAAGACCUGGCGCUUGAAGAGGGGCCCGCGCCUGAUUAGCUCGUUGGUGGGGUAACGGCUCACCAAGGCAACGAUCAGUAUCCGGCCUGAGAGGGCGGACGGACACACUGGGACUGAGACACGGCCCAGACUCCUACGGGAGGCAGCAGUGGGGAAUUGUUCGCAAUGGGCGCAAGCCUGACGACGCAACGCCGCGUGGAGGACGAAGAUCUUCGGGUCGUAAACUCCUGUCGAGCGGGAAGAACGCUUCCCGGGUGAACAGCCUGGGAAAUUGACGGUACCGCUAAAGGAAGCCCCGGCUAACCCCGUGCCAGCAGCCGCGGUAAUACGGGGGGGGCAAGCGUUGUUCGGAAUUACUGGGCGUAAAGGGCUCGUAGGCGGCCCUCUCAGUCGGAUGUGAAAUCCCCAGGCUCAACCUGGGAAUGGCAUCCGAUACUGGAGGGCUUGAAUUCGGGAGAGGGAUGCAGAAUUCCAGGUGUAGCGGUGAA
rnacentral:rRNA from 1 species